GGGGGAAUAGCUCAGUGGAAGAGCACGUGCCUGGCAUGUAUGAGACCCGGGUUCAACUUCCGGCAUCUGCA
rnacentral:tRNA from 1 species